AGGUGCGAUCAUACCAGCACUAAUGCACUGGAUCCCAUUAGAACUCUGCAGCUAAGCAUGCUUGGGCGAGAGUAGUACUAGGAUGGGUCACCUCCUGGGAAGUCCUUGUGUUGCACCUC
rnacentral:rRNA from 1 species